rnacentral:rRNA from 1 species
CCNGCGGCAGGCCUACCAUGCAAGUCGAGGGGUAGAAAUAGCUUGCUAUUUUGAGACCGGCGCACGGGUGCGUAACGCGUAUGCAAUCUACCUUGUACUGAGGGAUAGCCCGGAGAAAUCCGGAUUAAUACCUCAUGGUAUAUUUGAGUGGCAUCAUUUAGAUAUUAAAGUUUUAACGGUACAAGAUGAGCAUGCGUCCCAUUAGUUAGUUGGUGUGGUAACGGCACACCAAGACUAUGAUGGGUAGGGGUCCUGAGAGGGAGAUCCCCCACACUGGUACUGAGACACGGACCAGACUCCUACGGGAGGCAGCAGUGAGGAAUAUUGGUCAAUGGAGGCAACUCUGAACCAGCCAUGCCGCGUGCAGGAAGACGGUUCUAUGGAUUGUAAACUGCUUUUGUACAGGAAGAAAUUAUCCCUCGUGAGGGAGCUUGACAGUACUGUAAGAAUAAGGAUCGGCUAACUCCGUGCCAGCAGCCGCGGUAAUACGGAGGAUCCAAGCGUUAUCCGGAAUCAUUGGGUUUAAAGGGUCCGUAGGCGGAUUAGUAAGUCAGGGGUGAAAGUUUGCGGCUUAACCGUAAAAUUGCCUUUGAUACUGCUAGUCUUGAAUAAUUAUGAAGUAGCUAGAAUAUGUAGUGUAGCGGUGAAAUGCUUAGAUAUCACAUGGGAAUACCGAUUGCGAAGGCAGGUUACUAAUAAUUUAUUGACGCUGAUGGACGAAAGCGUGGGUAGCGAACAGGNAUUAGAAUAUNCUGGUAGUCCACGCUGUAAACGAUGGNAUACUAGUUGUUGGGUUUUUCGGACUCA